UUCCUACGGGAGGCAGCAGUGAGGAAUAUUGGUCAAUGGGCGGGAGCCUGAACCAGCCAAGUCGCGUGAGGGAAGACGGUCCUAUGGAUUGUAAACCUCUUUAGGCGGGGAGCAAUGCCGGGUACGCGUGCCCGGAGGGAGAGGACCCGCAGAAUAAGCAUCGGCUAACUCCGUGCCAGCAGCCGCGGUAAUACGGAGGUUGCGAGCGUUAUCCGGAUUUUAUGGGUUUAAAGGGUGCGUAGGCGGAUUUUUAAGUCAGCGGUAAAAUGUCCGGGCUCAACCCUGGCCGGUCGUUGAAACCGGGG
rnacentral:rRNA from 1 species